rnacentral:rRNA from 1 species
GGUCCUUUUCUAGGAUUAACGAGGGAGGGUCUCUUGGUGAUUUAGUUGGGUUCAUCACUUAGAGAGGGGGCGUGCAUGAAGUAUUGGCCCCACUUUUCCGAUCCUUUCGUACUGGGAAAAGUUUGUCAUAGAUAGAAACCGACCUGGAUUACUCCGGUCUGAACUCAGAUCACGUAGGACUAUUAAUCGUUGAACAAACGAACCCUUAAUAGCGGCUGCACCAUUAGGAUGUCCUGAUCCAACAUCGAGGUCGUAAACCCCCUUGUCGAUAUGGGCUCUUGGAGGGGAUUGCGCUGUUAUCCCUGGGGUAGCUUGGUCCAUUGGUCAAUUAUAUUGGGUCUGGUUACUGUUAGUACGUUGAGGGGUUGCUCUUAGUUAAGAGGCAGUGGUCUUAUUUUUGGAGGGUUUGUUUUUCUCCAAGGUCGCCCCAACCGAAAAAAUGCAAGCCAAUGUCUUGUUAGUAGUAGUCCUGGUAGGUAAUAUUUUGUUUACGGGGUGGCUGCUGAUUUUAAAAAGUUCCACAGGGUCUUCUCGUCUUAUGUUCACAUCCCUGCUUUUGCACAGGGGGAUCAAUUUCACUGAUUAUCUGUAAGAGACAGUUAAGACCUCGUUUAGCCAUUCAUACAAGUCUCGAUUUAUGGGACAAUUGAUUGCGCUACCUUCGCACGGUUAGGAUACCGCGGCCGUUGAACGUGGGGUCACUGGGCAGGCAUCACCUUCAAUACUUGUUUGGCUGAAGGCUAUGUUUUUGGUAAACAGUCGGGCCUUGGGGGUUUGCCUAGUUCCUUUUACAGAUUUAAAUCUUUCUAAUAAGCGCUCCUGAGUUGGGUUAACAGAGAGUAAAAUACAAAAUCUUGUUGGAGUGAGGGUAUUAAUUAUCUGUUAAUAAUUUAGGGAUGUAAGCUUGCGCUUGAGAGGACUAUGUCCUAGUUACUCAUUUUAGCAUUGAUUCUCCUAUAGUUAUAGGUUAGUCCGCUAGUAGUAAGGGAGUCAUGAGGUUUUAGGAUUUUUAGGUGGUUGGAGCUUUGACGCACUCUUUGUUGAUGGCUGCUAAAAGGCCUACAGUUGUUUGUGAGGGUGGGGAUUAUCCGCUAGAGGGGGUUGUAUUCCUUUUUAAAGGAGCUGUACCUCCUUUAAAUUGCUCUUGACUGCUUUCAUUGGGGUGGUUGAAGGUUCCUAGAGGAGGUGUCAAGGUAGAACUAAAAUUCAUUUCGCGGGCAACCAGCUAUCACCUAGCUCGAUUGGCUUUUCACCUCUACUAGCAAGUCAUCCCACUCUUUUGCAACAGAGACGGGUUCGCUCUAGGUAGCUGCUCGCAAGUAGCUCGCUUAGGUUUCGGGAUAGCAAGCUUAAGUUCACUUUGCUUGGCUGUUCUUGCUAAAUCAUGAUGCAAGAGGUACAAGGGUGUAUCUUUGCUGUUUGUUGCUUGGCUUGUUCAUUAUUAUUUCAUCUUUCCCUUACGGUACGGGUCUCUAUUGCGCCUGAUGGUCUUUUCUAUCGCCUAUACUAGGUUGGAAGAAUGUUUUAGUCUAGGGGUUGAAUAGGUUUUUAAAUUCGCCUGGUUGCAUAGGGUUGGGCUAGAGUUGGGCU